UUCAGCCGAACGUGACGAGGUUAUCCGAGUGGUUCCCGCGUGAGGGAAUCUUUUGUCGGCUCUAAAAAGGCCGGCGAAUAAGGGGAGGGCAAGUCUGGUGUCAGCCGCCGCGGUAAUACCAGCUCCUCGAGUGGUCGGGGCGAUUAUUGGGCCUAAAGCAUCCGUAGCCGGUUCUGUAGGUCCUCUGUUAAAUCCAACGGCUUAACCGUUGGCCCGCAGAGGAUACCGCAGGACUAGGAGGCGGGAGAGGCAGACGGUACUCUACGUGUAGGGGUAAAAUCCUUUGAUCCGUAGAAGACCACCAGUGGCGAAGGCGGUCUGCCAGAACGCGCUCGACGGUGAGGGAUGAAAGCUGGGGGAGCGAACCGGAUUAAAUACCCGGGUAGUCCCACCCGUAAACGAUGCGAGCUAUAUGAUUCGGUCGCAAAUCGUCGAUCGAAUUGUCGCAGGGAAGCCGUUAAGCUCGCCGCCUGGGNAGUACGGCCGCCAAACUGAAACUUAAA
rnacentral:rRNA from 1 species